UACGUAGGCAGCGAGCGUUGUUCGGAAUUACUGGGCGUAAAGAGUGUGUAGGCGGUGCUCUAAGUUCGGUGUGAAAUCUCCUGGCUCAACUGGGAGGGUGCGCCGGAAACUGGAGUGCUUGAGCGUGGGAGAGGAAAGCGGAAUUCCUGGUGUAGCGGUGAAAUGCGUAGAUAUCAGGAGGAACACCUGUGGUGAAAACAGGCGACUGGGGAUGUGCUGACGCUGAGACACGAAAGCCAGGGGAGCAAACGGG
rnacentral:rRNA from 1 species